rnacentral:lncRNA from 1 species
UUUAUUGACAGGUGACAAAGCUGUGAGAUAUACAGGUAGUCCUAAAAGAGUGCUAACAAAUCUUCUGUGAACUAUCUAAAAUAACACAAGGAUAAAGGUCUUCCUAUAAGAUAUUUCUUUGCUGUCUGUGAGGAAUAUGUUGUUUUCAACUUUAGUUCCUGAGGUGAAUUUCAGGCUGUGGCACCUGUAGGUGAAAUAUUUACAGAUCAGUUAAUAUAGAUGGAUGCAGUCAGAGAAGAUGAACUGCGGUUAAAAUACUGUGAUUAAAAAUACUGUUAUGUUUGGUAUUUCAGCUGGCUAUGGAUGCGUAUGGAAAAAAAAGGUGAUGCAGGCUAAAAUGUACUUCUACUGCAGGUUGUUGCAUACAAUUACAGGCCUUUAUCCUGACUUUUUCAUAGAAUCAUAGAAUGGCCUGGGUUGAGAAGGACCACAAUGAUCAUCGAGUUUCAACCCCCCUGCUAUGUGCAGGGUCGCCAACCACCAGACCAGGCUGCCCAGAGCCACAUCCAGCCUGGCCUUGAAUGCCUCCAGGGAUGGGGCAUCCACAGCCUCCUUGGGCAGCCUGUUCCAGUGUGUCACCACCCUCUGGGUCAAUACUGCAGAUUUCUUCCUUUUGCUGAAUGUUUUCCUGUGGCUAUACCAAGAUUUCCAAGAUCUCGUUUCUGCAGAUUCCUGCAAGAGAGGAGCCAAGAGCUGUAACGUUCGUAGUGCCUGACAACAUUAAUCAUCGAUCCUAUUGCGAACUGCUUCUGGGUGGGAUGUUUCUGGGUUUGUAACUACAUAUGGCUCCUAUCAUUUGCGGCUUCCGCAAGCAAUUCUAG